CAAGUCAGAAAAAGUUCAGAAGUACUCUGGUGGUGUAAAGGAUUUUAACAUCUGUAGCUUGGAUGACUUUAAAUAUAUUUCUUCUCAUAAUGGCCUUACAUGUCUUCAGACAAACCCUCUUGAAAUGCCAACCUACACACACAGGAGAAUAUGUGGCAAUGGGUUGUUGGAAGGAAGUGAAGAAUGUGACUGUGGCACUAAAGACUUCAAACCGGCUAAUAUGAUUUGUAGGAAAUCAGUUGGUAAAGAAUGCGAUUUCACUGAAUAUUGCAAUGGGGACCUUCCAUACUGUUUGCCUGACACUUAUGUACGUGAUGGAGAAUAUUGUGAUUCAGGUGGAGCCUUCUGUUUUCAAGGAAAGUGUCGGACUUUUGACAAACAAUGUGAUGAUUUAAUUGGAAGAGGUUCAAGAGGUGCUCCGGUUUUCUGUUAUGAUGAAAUUAA
rnacentral:lncRNA from 1 species